rnacentral:rRNA from 1 species
GACGAACGCUGGCGGCGUGCUUAACACAUGCAAGUCGAACGGAAAGGCCCUGCUUUUGUGGGGUGCUCGAUUGGCGAACGGGUGAGUAACACGUGAGUAACCUGCCCUUGACUUUGGGAUAACUUCAGGAAACUGGGGCUAAUACCGGAUAGGAGCUCCUGCUGCAUGGUGGGGGUUGGAACGUUUCGGCGGUUGGGGUUGGACUCGCGGCUUAUCAGCUUGUUGGUGGGGUAGUGGCUUACCAAGGCUUUGACGGGUAGCCGGCCUGAGAGGGUGACCGGCCACAUUGGGACUGAGAUACGGCCCAGACUCCUACGGGAGGCAGCAGUGGGGAAUAUUGCACAAUGGGCGGAAGCCUGAUGCAGCAACGCCGCGUGCGGGAUGACGGCCUUCGGGUUGUAAACCGCUUUCGCCUGUGACGAAGCGUGAGUGACGGUAAUGGGUAAAGAAGCACCGGCUAACUACGUG